UGGGUAACCUGCCUUAUAGUGGGGGAGUAGCCUUUCGAAAGGAAGAUUAAUACCGCAUAAGAUUGUAGUAUCGCAUGAUAUAGCAAUUAAAGGAGCAAUCCGCUAUAAGAUGGACCCGCGUCGCAUUAGCUAGUUGGUGAGGUGAUGGCUCACCAAGGCGACGAUGCGUAGCCGACCUGAGAGGGUGAUCGGCCACAUUGGGACUGAGACACGGCCCAGACUCCUACGGGAGGCAGCAUG
rnacentral:rRNA from 1 species